UACGUAGGCAGCAAGCGUUGUUCGGAGUUACUGGGCGUAAAGGGUGCGUAGGCGGUCCUAUAAGUAUGGUGUGAAAUCUCCCGGCUUAACUGGGAGGGUGCGCUAUAGACUGUGGGACUAGAGUGUGGGAGAGGAAAGUGGAAUUCCUGGUGUAGCGGUGAAAUGCGUAGAUAUCAGGAGGAACACCGGCGGUGUAAACGGCUUUCUGGACCAUAACUGACGCUGAGGCACGAAAAGCGUGGGUAGCAAACAGG
rnacentral:rRNA from 1 species